UCCAUAUAUCUUGCCCUUGGUAAAUCCAAGUUCUGCAGUAAUUAUUUCCCCACUCUAAGACUAGGUUUCGAAUGAAAAAAAUGCAUGUAUACUAUGCCUUUAUUCCAAGUUUUGUAGUCAUGAUCCUUACUACUUGUGGGAUAGGGACUGAUCUAAUAUCGUGGAAUUCCCAAACCCUCUGCCAAUUGUUGCUUGAUCUUCCCAAACUCAUCAAUCAUCUUCCUUUACAAAAGAAAUAAAACAAGGAAAUGCCAAUGGUCAAGAAGAUGCCAAAACCAAGAAAAUUUUAAAAUAAAUAUAUAUAUAGAGACCAAAAACAAACAAUUUUCGACAACACAAUUACAAGAAAUCUUGCCCAAAAGUUGAAAUUCACAACCUUAACUAAAUAAUCCAUUAAAAAGAGUUUGGAUCUACAUAAGAAAAACGAUUAUUGGUCAUCAAUAUUUAAGAAUGUUUGAGAAUGGUAUUUGAACAAACUUAAUAAAAUUUGAAUUCAUUUUUCAUACCUCUCAAUAUCAACUGUCUAAAGCAUACCUUUGUGAUAAUAACAAAUACCACAAAUGAAGAAGGAAAACAGUUCUGAAAAACCAAUGUAAAGACUAAUAUCAUGCAUAGCACAAACCCAUUAGAAAACAUAAAUCAUAAAAUCCAAAGUAUAAUCCACACCUUAACCAACAUGGGUUGCAUAACUUCUCAACACAAUACAAAACAUGUACGCCAUUUUAAUACCUUUAAACAACAACACCACAAUGACAUGGACAACCACUAUAGCUGUUAAUAAGAAAACAAACGGAACUGAGGUGUAAUGAGAAGAAGAGGUUCUUAACUCAAAUGGUCCUUUGUCCAAAACCAAAUCCUUCCACCUCCUCAAAUAAUCUGACAUGCAAAAACAGGAUAUUACCUCAGUAAAGUUAGACUCCUAAAUGACAUUUUUCUAAACACAUUAUAAGAUAAAGAGAACCACAAACCCAAAUAAGGCAAUCACUCAUUGGUUUUAAUGUUUACAAUGCAAAUAGAGACACUGAAUGACAACUUUUUCAGUUUCCACUAGAAUACAAUGAAGAAAUGAAAUAAAAAGAGAUCUAAAUGUAGAAAAAGAGGAUUGAAUUGAAAUAAAAUAACAUGAAAAAUUCUUUAAACACAAACAAAGGAUGAUCCUAGUGAAAACCUAGAAGUCUUGAAGAUAUUUCUUUAUCAUAUUUUCAAGCCCAAGACACAGAGUUUGCUUAAGCACAUUGCCCGACAUUCCUAAUUUUCUAGGCACUUCAAUUUGGUCUUCAACCAUUGCUAAGCAAAGAGAGAAUUCAACAAGAAGGGUAUGAAGUAGUUUUCAUGAAAUCAUAGAUGACCAAAUAAACAUUUUGUUAAACAAUUUGGGCAGGAACACUUCAACUUGGGAAAUUCACUAAAAAUUCAGUUUGAGUCGACAUAGUGAGAAACUUUCCAGAUCAGAACUAGACACAUAAAACUUCAUCACAUCAAAAUUUCAUAGCAUUCGAAGUUAAAGAAGCAUGUCAAAAACAAAAUCCAAAACAGACUGGGCUGCAGAGUUUUCUGCUUCCUGCAACAUAACAACUAUUUUGAAAAUUUGCCAAAAAUCCAAUUUAACUCGGAAUUGUAUGAAACCAGUUUUGAAAUGCUCAUUGAAAUGUCUAAUUAUAAAAAAUCCAGAUCAAAAUAUAAAUCCGAACUAGGUCUAUUGGUCCAGGACAUAACACAAGAUCACAGAUUUUUGCAUAACCUCAGAUUUCAUCAACCAACCCAAAUCUUUAAAAAUUCACCACUUAUCAGCUUUAAACAUCAAAACACUAAAUCAUACAAAUGUGGCUAUUUACUAUUGAAAGAGUAUUAAUCUGAAAUUACCAACUACAAUAAAAAAAUAUAUAAAGGCAUAGCUUAAAUUGAAUAACUAACUAUGAAAUUUUUACAAAAUAAUUACGCAACUUCUCCUGCACUAAACAACAUGGCUAAACAGCAAAACUCUAAAAGAAAUACGAAGUGUCUAUAAAAAAACUUGAUAUAUCAUUGAAGAAACGUACAAGACUACAAUGCAAUAUUGAGUUACAAAGCACAACCAAUUAAAGGAAGGGAAAACAGAGGAAAACACUACCACAAAAACAGAGAGAGAGCAAGACAGAGAGGUUGACCUGAUUCCAUUCCACAUGUAUGGACCCAACCAAUUCAGUAGAAAAUUAAGUUCUAACAGGCAAGUGAUGCAUACGUAUAAAAUUUGACUUAUAAAUUUCAUCACCAUGAAAAACAUAGAAAAGUACACAUGAGUUUUCAAUAUAAAAAACCAUUGUCAAGAUAUAUGAACUCAACUACACUAGAAUUUUUUUAACAAAUAAAACCAUAUAAAGAAUACAUACCAAGAAAGAGAUACAGUGGAGCAUGCACCAUGACCUUGCUAUUACAGGUCUGAAAAACAACUAAGAAAAAUCAGUUUCAAUCUCCUUCAACCACCAAAAAUAACCAAUAGGCACUAGAUCUAACAUUAAAACCUUCAAUGAACCAUAAGUUGCAACCGUACAUGACAGAAAAUUGAUGAAAUUGAAAGAAAAAAUUUACCUUUUCUAGUGGAUUUCAGUUUUGG
rnacentral:lncRNA from 1 species